AGAACAUGUACUUAAUCAACAGCAAUCCAGUCUUCUGUAUCAACCAUCUUCACUUCCUAUGGGAAUGGUGUUUUUCUAUCUCAUUUGCAAGUCACUGUGGAAUUCAGCUAAUAUCUGAAGAGCUUCAACUGCUUACAAAGAGAGAUGGUCUUAAAUAUAUCCCAUCAGCCUUCAAUCCUACAAGAAAUGCACUGGUGGAAAAAAUUAUGUAUUACAGCAAGUAUUUCAAAUGAUGACUAAUAACAAAGUCUACAGCACAUAAUUGGAAAUAUACUGCCUUCCCAUGAGCUUGCAGAUGUUUUAUAUGCCAGAGCUGAAGAUCUCUUCAUGAUAGGUUAUAGCUGUCUCACUGAUAAACUAAUCAGCUGAGAAGAGAUAGCAGAAACCUGGAGACAGUGAUGUUUCUUCAAGACAGUCUGUGAUUCUCCAUACAUCAUGAAAUACAAGAGAGAGCAAUGCGUUCUGGAUAAGUUUCAAGAAAGCUUCCAAACACAAAUUAUACUAAAUACCAAUAAUUAUACAUGCCUCCUGUGCAACAAAGGGCAGCCAGUGCCAUAGACUAAUGCUAGUGUGCUGUUUGUCUCUGUUCCUACAAGGUACUUCAAGUGUGAUUCCAGCAGUCCAUAGAUGGAUGAUUUUGCUAUGAAAAGAGGCCGGAGCGCUCAUUGUUCCACAUGUCUUUAUGAACUAUCUGUAAAGCAUUAUCCAGAGGGAAUCCAUAAGACUUCAUUUGUACAAUGCUGUAUAUUUAAUGACAGCAAUGCAUUUUAAUGUUCCAAAUGUCCAUUUAUGCUCAAGAGCGGAAUGCCAUGAAAAGAAAAUAGCUCCUUGAGCAGCACAGAGCAGCGGACCAACAAAGUGUCUUCCAAGAACAACUUUAUUGUCUUUCAAUAGUUGUCUAAGCUGGAAGUCUGGAAACUUUUGUGUGACUCUCUUGAUGAUUUUAAUUCAGAUAAGUUCAUCUUCAGCCUCAAUCACUUCUUCACCUCCACCAAUUAAAUCUAAGGAAAAUUAUUACAAAUGUGGCUGAAAUUGAUUCGAAAGUUAUUGUGGAUGCACAAGUAACCAUUUCUGAAAGAAAACUGGUUAAAAUAACAUUGUUCUGCUAAAAGAUGUUUCAGUCUGCAGGUACUUCAAUCUGUAGCAUUCAAUGAAGGGAAUAAGAUAUUCUCUACCAUCAUUACAGCUUUCAGCAUCCAGCCCACAUGAAUACAUGGCCCUGUAUAUAACUGAGCAAGCCGAAGAAAGCAUUUGAUACAUGUUCCCAUCAAAGCUGUGUGCUUUAUGUGUGCUGCCUCAAGCCUGCAGUACCAGCACUGGACACCACACCUUUUGGAAGGUACGAAACAUCUUCUGGUACUUGAUCUUUGUGUUUUAGAAACCUGAGAGGGCUGGAGCACAAAGGUAACUAGGCUGCUCAUAAUCAGUAAGCAUGGAAUCCAGCUGUGUGGAAGCAUGUGUCUUCCUAUUAUUAUUGUGUAAAAAACAAAGCAAACAGAAGGUUUAGAGAUGUUUCUGUUAUUUCUGGUUUAUAUUUCAGAGGAUGACUAUAACUAAUGAGAUAAAUACUAAAAGUUUGGCAUUUAUUUUCUGUUUCAAUAAUGUGUCUUGUGCUCAAAAACUUACACUUUUCAGCUAAAAAUAUCUACUGUAAAGAUAACAGUCUUGGCCAUUAAUGAUCAUUAGUGUCACCACUAAGAAAAGCUUCAUGUUGGUGUUAUUUAUUAAAGCAAUCAAAAUGUG
rnacentral:lncRNA from 7 species